CUAUAACAAACCCCUAAACUAUGUCUGAGUUAUUGAAGUCUUCAGAUUGUGGUUUGAAGACCUCAAGCUGCAGAUAAUCCACCAGCAAAUGACCUAUGCCCGACACUGCAGAGGAAGGCGAAAAACCUCCAGGGCCUCUGCCAAUCUCAACAGCACUGGUGAAAAAUCCCUUC